CCAAUAGCGUAUAUUAAAGUUGUUGCAGUUAAAAAGCUCGUAGUUGAAUUUCGGGGUCAGUAGGUUGGUCAUGCCACUGGUAUGUACUGGUCUCACUGAUUCCUCCUUCCUGAUGAGCCGUAAUGUCAUUAAUUUGGUGUUGCGAGGAAUCUGGACUGUUACUUUGAAAAAAUUAGAGUGUUUAAAGCAGGCUAACGCUUGAAUACAUUAGCAUGGAAUAAUGAAAUAGGACGUUCGAUCUUAUUUUGUUGGUUUCUAAGAUUGACGUAAUGAUUAAUAGGGAUAGUUGGGGGCAUUAGUAUUCAAUUGUCAGAGGUGAAAUUCUUGGAUUUAUUGAAGACUAACUACUGCGAAAGCAUUUGCCAAGGAUGUUUUCAUUAAUCAAGAACGAAAGUUAGGGGAUCGAAGACGAUCAGAUACCGUCGUAGUCUUAACCAUAAACUAUGCCGACUAGGGAUCGGAUGAUGUUAAUUUUUUUAAUGACUCAUUCGGCGCCUUACG
rnacentral:rRNA from 1 species